GCAGGGGGCGGGGCUGACACAAGGGACGAGGCUGGCGCAAUGGCCUGGGCAGACCCCAGAGCUGGUAUAACCCACCAGGCGGGGCGUGCUGGGGAAGACCUUGCGCAUGCGCAUGCACUUCUCCUUGUCGAUGCAUAAGCCUCAGCCUGAGCGUCUGUAGGGUGUCGUCUAUAGUGAAAACUUCGUUCACGAGCCUGCGGUGGGGCGGAGAGAAACCUCAGAGACAUUCCUUUCAGCACAGCCACCCCGUGUGCAGCAGGGAAGGUGCCUCGGGUGGCCACAGCACUGCAGUCCUCAGCCCUGGAAGGAAGGACAGGUGGACGCGCCCCUCUGGGAGGGUCACCCAGGCUGACAAAGCACUGAGGCAACAGAUGGGACAAAGGGCAGAAUCUGACAAUAAUUUAAACAUAGGUUUGCCCCCAGAACCUGCAAUCCGUCUCUUGCUUCUCCAACCUAAACUGAAGACAGAUCUUCACACCAAGUGUCCACAGCAGCGCUGUCCACCAUGGCCCAGAAGAGGGAAAGACAAACGGUGGUAUGGCCACACUGUGAAACUAUUCAGUGUAACAGAAGCCACGGUUCACUCUGUUUUUGUCUCUGAGAAGGUGUCAUUGUGCUGGCCAUAGUGACAUUGUCUCCAACUCCAGUGCUCAAGCUGCCCUCCUGUCUAAGCCACUCAAGCAUACCUGACCUAUUAUGUGACUUGUUUUGCCUUGCUUUUGCCCCCUCCCCCCACCUUCUCCUUCCCUUUCCUGUCCUGGUCUCACAUAGUCCAGGCUGACCUCAGAUUCUCUACACAGCUAAAGGGUGACCACCUGGAACACCUCCUCCUUUUUCCUUCACCUCCCAAGAGUUGAGAUUAUAGGCAUGAGUCCUUUUUUGAAUGUG